rnacentral:rRNA from 1 species
AGUGAACGCUGGCGGUAGGCCUAACACAUGCAAGUCGAACGGCAGCACAGUAAGAGCUUGCUCUUACGGGUGGCGAGUGGCGGACGGGUGAGGAAUACAUCGGAAUCUACUUUUUCGUGGGGGAUAACGUAGGGAAACUUACGCUAAUACCGCAUACGACCUACGGGUGAAAGCAGUGGAUCUUCGGACCUUGCGCGAUUGAAUGAGCCGAUGUCGGAUUAGCUAGUUGGCGGGGUAAAGGCCCACCAAGGCGACGAUCCGUAGCUGGUCUGAGAGGAUGAGCAGCCACACUGGAACUGAGACACGGUCCAGACUCCUACGGGAGGCAGCAGUGGGGAAUAUUCGACAAUGGGCGCAAGCCUGAUCCAGCAAUACCGCGUGGGUGAAGAAGGCCUUCGGGUUGUAAAGCCCUUUUGUUGGGAAAGAAAGGCAGCAGGUUAAUACCCCGCUGUUCUGACGGUACCCAAAGAAUAAGCACCGGCUAACUUCGUG